rnacentral:rRNA from 1 species
AUGGCUAUCGUCGCCGGCGUUCGUGGCGCGGGUCGUGCGUCUAUCACCGUCGGUCAAGGCAGAGGGGAUGUGUUCCUUCAUGGCCAACCGAGCAGAUCCGGAGGUAGAGGUCAUGGCAAUGGCAGUGCGGCCAUCCCCGUCGACCGUUCGUCAGGAGGAGGACAAUCCACAGGAUUCACGGAUGACAUCAAUCGGAGCAGAUAUGCCACCGGCGGGGCUCGUUAUGGUGGCAUAAGCAGAGGCCCGGAGGUUCCAUUGCCAAUUCCAACACCAAAGAAAGGUAAUGCAAAUGAUGUAACAAAUAUAUGGUGUCAUGGAAAAUCGUUGGAAGGAAAUGCAUGGUCUUGUUCUUAUUGUGGGGUUGUUAAACUUGGUGGGGGUGCAACCCGAUUCAAGUUGCAUCUAGCAGGACUGGGCUCUGAGUGUUACUCUUGCCUGAGUGCGCCUCAUCAUGUAGUUGCUGUUUUUCGGAAAGGCAUUCCGGAGGGAAUUGAUAGGAGGAGGAAGGCCAAAGAAGGAAAGAAAAGAGUAGUAGAUGAGGUCAACCAUCUGAACAAUCUAGAUACAUCAAUACAUAUUGAUUGUGAAUGA